rnacentral:rRNA from 1 species
CAAGCGGUGGAUGAUGUGGAUUAAUUCGAUGCAACGCGAAAAACCUUACCUACCCUUGACAUGCCACUAACGAAGCAGAGAUGCAUUAGGUGCUCGAAAGAGAAAGUGGACACAGGUGCUGCAUGGCUGUCGUCAGCUCGUGUCGUGAGAUGUUGGGUUAAGUCCCGCAACGAGCGCAACCCUUGUCUCUAGUUGCUACGAAAGGGCACUCUAGAGAGACUGCCGGUGACAAACCGGAGGAAGGUGGGGAUGACGUCAAGUCCUCAUGGCCCUUAUGGGUAGGGCUUCACACGUCAUACAAUGGUGCAUACAGAGGGUUGCCAAGCCGCGAGGUGGAGCUAAUCCCAGAAAAUGCAUCGUAGUCCGGAUCGUAGUCUGCAAC